UUCACUUGGUAUAUUCUAUCCUUCACAGAUACCUGUCCUCAAUGAAGAUCCUGAUUUGGUUACAAGAUUGAGACAACUUGCUACAUAUCUGUCCAUGGCAUCUAAUUCACAAAUUUGAAGGUGGACCCAUCUUUCUUUCCCAAUUGUGCAUUCACCUUUCUCGUGGUGUUCAGAUUCAUCACACUGUUCUUUCUUCAAGUUUCUUCCCUUGCCCUGUUUAGUGGAAUUUUCUUGCUCUGUGAAUCAGUGAAUAAAUUUCAUCUUCUGGCAUAAA